rnacentral:rRNA from 1 species
CUCAGGGAGGUAGUGACAAGAAAUAACAACACUGGAAAUUUUAUUUCUAGUGAUUGGAAUGAUGGGAAUUUAAACCCCUUUCAGAGUAACAAUUGGAGGGCAAGUCUGGUGCCAGCAGCCGCGGUAAUUCCAGCUCCAAUAGCGUAUAUUAAAGUUGUUGCAGUUAAAAAGCUCGUAGUUGGAUGUCUGCUGGAAGCAAUCAGUCCGCCCUAUUUGUAGGGUGUGCACUUGAUGAAUUCUGGCAUUUUUGUCCCAAUGAUGUAACGGGGCGGUGGUACUCGGUGAAAGCCGAGUAUCCUGUUUUCCGAUUAUUGGGAUACUGUUACUUUGAGAAAAUUAGAGUGUUUGAAGCAGGCUAAUUGCCUUGAAUACUGCAGCAUGGAAUAACAAUAUAGGAUUUCGGUUCUAUUUUGUUGGUUUCUAGGACUGAAAUAAUGAUUAAUAGGGACAGUUGGGGGCAUUCGUAUUUAACUGUCAGAGGUGAAAUUCUUAGAUUUGUUAAGGACGAACUACUGCGAAAGCAUUUGCCAAAGAUGUUUUCAUUAAUCAAGAACGAAAGUUAGGGGCUCGAAGACGAUCAGAUACCGUCGUAGUCUUAACCAUAAACUAUGCCGACUAGAGAUAGGAAAAUGUCAUUUUGCUGACUU